GUGCACUCAGAAGUUGGCCAGUCAUUAGUAGAGCUCUGUGCGUUGGAGGAAGUGGUGGUUACUGAUGACUCAGCCGAGCCAUGCAUUUCAUUCUUUCUCUCUCCAGUCUCUCUGUGCUCUCUCCUUCCUCUGUCAUUUGCUUUGCUCUUUACAUUCUAUUCAUUCUUCUUUUCUAUUCUGGAUCUUUAUUUUCUAUUUUACUCUCACCCUUUCUGUCUCUGUCCACCACCUUUUCUCUCUUCCCCCUGAUUCAUCUUGACCUUUGGAGACAUCUCUGAGUGUGUAUUUUUGUGUGUAUGUGUGUGUGUGUGUGUGUGUGUGUAUGAGAGAGUGUGCAUGUGCUGUGUGUCUGCCUUACUAGGAUAUUCAGCAAUUUCUCAUUGACUUUCUGAUGAAGAUGAGGAUGAGGAGAGACAAACUGGACUGUCCAUGAGGUCUGGGGUCAGCUUACUUACACAUCUUUUAGGUCUAAGACGCAGGAUUGAGAAACAGUUUCACCACAGGACUAUCAGACUGGUUUCCACCACAUUCACCCAUCCUGACAAGCGGUGGGGAAACCACCCCAGCAAAGCUCAUCUGUUGAGAUGUUGCUGAGGCACUUUGUGGUUAUGACCUCAUCAUCAUGAGAUGGAAAGGCUGGUGACUGCAGGCAGCUACAGAAGAGGUGGUGCUGUGUUGUGGUUUGCAGCUGCUGGUUCUUGGCAAAAUAAAUUGCACUGUGGAGAUGCCUCAGGGAAUUAUUUGCUCAAAGGUUGAAAGGAUGAACAAAAAAAGGAAUUCAAGAGAUGGAGGAAUCCACCCCGGCUGGACUACAGUUCUGACUCACACAUGUGUAUGAAUGUGUUUGUGUUGGUGUCUGUGUGUCUGUGUGUGUGUGUGCCUGCAGGCGUGUAGAAACCAUUUGUGUGUGUGACCAAGUGUGCGUGUGUUAAUGAGUUGUGUAUGUGAGUCUGAAUGUGGAAGACAUAUAAUUAUCUGAGCAUGUGCUUUUGCCAAGUUCUGGAAGGCACCGUACUUUCCGUGUACUGCAGAUGAGCACACGAACACACGCACGCACACAAACACAAAAGGAAAGGGAAACAACUUUAUUUCUUUCUUUUUUUUGAGAUUUUAUGCCAAUAAACAAACUGAUGUUUGAUCAAAUACAGAUCUCAUAAAAAUAAAAUAUAUUUGCUAGUAAAAUAUAUUUUACUUCUAUAAUUUCUUUUCUGAAAGAUGUACAUAAAGAGAUUUUAUAUGCUUCACUUAGAUGUUUCACUAAUACUUCCAAAUAAAGUGAGCAUAUUGGAUGUGUGUGGAUGUGAUAUAAAAGCCUUCAGCUGAGUAUGGCAAACAAGUAUCUCUCAAAGUCAUAGUCUUUAUGCAUAAAAUUCAGCUGCAAAUGGGCUACUGGGGAAAAAUAGGGGGAUUCUGUUUUCUUUUAAAAAAGAAAAUGUACACAUGACUGCCUCAAACAAAGUCUGACCUUUACAUUGGUUACACAUUCACAGUUGUUCAUAUUAACAACUAAAUUUUAUUUAAAUAAACAACUUUCUAUAACCAAACAUAUGCAAAUUAGAAUAAAAAGAUGGUUUGUAUUGACAAAUAAUCACACUGCUCUGAUUUUUUGAUUAAAUUGAAUGUAAAAAGCUUUAUUUUAAAUUGAAGCAAUAAUUACAUGUUCAGUGUACAGUUACAAUAUUAACAAAAGACAAAUUUGCUACAAUUUUACUGGGUCAUUUGGAAUUGUUUGUCUCAGUUCUUGCACAAACAACCUCCAUCCAAGAGAUGCAUUUCUGUACAGCACUUUCAGCAAAAGCAAAAUAAACCGCUAUGUCUCUGGGUCCACUAUACUGUGUGUUUUAUCUUUUUAACAAUUCCACUGAUUUUUUUAUUUUUAUCUUAUUUUCCUGUCAUGAGAAUAGUCUUAAUAGUCUGGCUUCUUUUGGCAUAUCUGUUAAACAUUUCAUAAAAUGCCUAUGGAUAAAUGUACUAUGUAAUUUUUCCAUGUAAAUAAUAUGAGUGGAAAAGGUGUUCGUCACACCUUCAAAAACCAGAACAUUUCAACCAGGGUUUAGAACCACCUUAAAUUCCAAACAAAGGCAGACUGAUGCAAACUGAAGUUUUCAUAAAUCUAAAAGUUGUAAUCACAAACUCUGAAGGUAUCGCCUAUAAUUGUUGGCAUCAACAUGUAUGCAUCACUGGACCUCAACUGUAUUUAUUCAUUCAUAAAAAAGCCUUUGCUAUUCCCAAACAAAACAAAACUCAAGACAACAAACAGAAACAGGGGAGAUUUUAACUUCUCAGCCUAUGCAAUUUCAAUUCUGGAGUAUAGUGGAUAAUAAUUUUGCUGUUGAUUUCCCACCUAGGUUAUUGUCUAGCCUGCCCGUCUAGUCUUUGAUUCAGCUGCAAAUAUGUUUACCUUUCAGCAGCCCAAACGUGCCAUAAAUUAUGCCAGUCUACUAAGGAAUGCCUCAAAAAGAACAUGUUGAGGGUUAUGGAUUUGAUUAACCAUGAAAGGUCAUAUAAAACAACCCAAAUAUGAUCCCAUUUAAAAGUUAUGGGGGGGAUUAGAAAAGUGCAGCAAUAUCAGUAAAACCCUUAAAAACUUUUGCAACUUUAGACAUUUAGCAAGGACAGUUAUAACAAUUAUACAAAACACCUGCUAAAAAUGAUUUCUGCCGAAGGGGACCAAGACCAACGGUGACUCUCUUUCUCCACACAUCAUUACAUCUGUUCAUGCUUUUGUCAAAUUCAUGAUUGAAAAAUUCUUGUCAUGUCGACCACCUUUAUCAGUCAGCACUGAAGAUAUGCCAAAAAAGCUAACAACUUGCAACUUGCUUUUUCACAUAACUGUAUGUAGAUAAUAGCUGUUAUCUUAAAGCCCCAAAGAGCACAGCACAAUAUGCGAACGCAGCCUGAGCAGGGUUAAAGCGAGUCAGUAAAACCCUGAAUGUAAUACAAGUGUUUCUGUGCUCUAACACCUACAAAUGAUAGGCGGAGAAUCUGCACAUUGCCAGGUUUCCAUAUCAGUUUCAUAAGCCGUUAAUUCAUCUUUCAGUUUCCUCCCUGCCAUGCUCUUCUCUCACACUCCAGCUGUAAUACAGUACUUCAAAAUGAGGUUGUAGGUUUCACAUGGCACGAUAUCAAAAAUCAACACGCAGUUACAGCGAUCUCAGUGUCACAGCAGAGACAAAAGCAAAAGCACUUAGGUUUGGUGCACAUGAACACACACCUGGAACGUGUUCAAUUCCAAACAGAGACAAAUCAGAAAGGUUACAUGGUAUGCAAUACAUUACUCCAACAGGAAAAGAUAGAACAAAGAGGAAAUACAACCAGAAACAGAAAGUAGUGUAAAACAGCUUUUGCGUUUUCUGUUUAGGUUGCGCUGUGGCAGUUUUGCUAACAUAAGUGGACAAAUGUGGUUCUCGGAAAUAAACAAUACAUUGGUAAGAGCUCUUUGUGGUUUUCUGUGGUUAUGUUACAUCUCUUUGUAUCUUUUAAUGUAUUUUUUAUGGCCAUUAAUGUCUCUUUGUUGCGAUUUUUUAUUUUAAUCUUGUACCAAUAAGCCAGAUGUGUACGGUGAUGUUUAUAUGACAAAUAUAAUCUAUAUGACACUGCUGUCAGAAGUGGAUUUUUAACAAUACAAGUACAGAUUAUUCUAAUGACUUUAUCCACUACAAGUAAUGCUAAAUAUCUUUAGAUAACGCCUGCAAAACCUUCAAUUAGUGACCAGUCCUAAACCAUCUCAUCAUAUCAUAGGAGAAAGCUUGAAAAUGAUUACUUAUAGCUGAUGAAUAGCUAUUAAAAUGUAAGAUUACACAGCUGACAGAGUAGCUGAAAUUCUUAUGUAGCAGUGAUAAAUACCAGCACAUUAAUGUAUCAGUGAUUUUCAGUGGUGUUGACACAACUGUGCAAACGUACAUUUGAUUAUUGCUGUGUUACAACAAACUUUUGGGCUAACCUCACAGGGAGUCGUCAACAGUGAUUGAACUACGUUAAUUCUGAAGUUUUAAAUCAAACACAUGUAUCACACAUAAUAGCACAGUACAUCUCCAAGGUUGCUCACGGGGGCAUAAAAGAUACUUCCCUAUUUUUGUUUGUGCCAUGCUUAAACAAACAUGCACACUAGGCAAUGUCAUUUUAUUAUUAUUGGUACCGAUCAAGUUAACGUAUAUUAUGUCAAUGAAUUUGGGAAUAUUCAACUUGUACCAUUCAAACCAACAUGGAAAACACGAGUUGUACACAAAUAUAAUUGGUCAGUGUUCACAUUGGACCUUUGAAAUACAGUGUUUAAUGCUUACUACUCCAACCAAACCUAGUCAGUCUGCUUGCUUGGUAAAGUUUGUCAGAAAAGUUCAAGGAGUUGGCUGUGCACCAUGCUUUAAAGGAGGUAGGGAUGUUGUGAUUAUUCUCAAAAAAGCCAGUUAAACAGAGCGGGAAUUCUAUCUUUGUGUCUUUUUCUCUAAUUUUCAUGAAUCAGAACAUAAGAAGUAUUGGUUGAUUUGGUUUCGCACCUCCAAUAAACUGUAGUGCACAGUUGAUUCCUUCAACUUUCCUAGUAGAAGCAUGCACUUUUGGUAUUAUAAAGUGCUUCGGUUAAAUGUAUUUUUGCAUAAUCCAUUGACACCACAUUAUAUUCAGAUAGCAAACAAUGUUCAAAGUCAAGAAAAUGGACUGAUUUAUAUUUACCCUCAACAUUCAAAUGGGAGUAAAUUCUGAUAUUUGUAAACACAGACAAGUGUACUCAGUUGUUUGUAUUUACUUCAGAUUUAAUCAGGAUUAAGUGGUAACAUUUAUUUUUUCGUAACAUAACCCAAUAUCUAUUUUUUUAAGGAUCAUGAAUUCUUACAUUAUAACACAACAAAGGUUUUCAUUGGCAUCAAGAGUUCAAAGAUACAAAUACAUGUUUUUAAUCUGAAGCCUCUAUUUCCGCUGUUCGCUAAUCACUUAGUUAUUUAAGAGUCUUUGACUUGCACUAUUCAAUGUUUGGUGUUUGUCCAAAACUCAAACGAACUAUUUAAUGACCUGGCAAGCGUAUGGAGACUUGGCCAGGUCUGAAUCACUGUGCUAAUAUACGGAUAUCGUGACCUUGUCAAGAAACCAUUGCACUCUGCCUGCUAAUGGUAAAACCAGAUGCUUAACGAAGAAGGUGGAAGACAGUAAUGGUUGAUUAGUUUAAAUUUAAAGGUUGCAUAAUGCAUAAACAAGACACUGUGAAAUGACACUAUUUAAUAGUUUUGUUGUUCACUUUGUUCAUCAACACCACUCUGCUAACUGGAUUUCAACUUAGUAACAAUUCCUCCAAUUUUGUUAUUAAACAAAAAUGGAACACUCACAUUCAGAUUUUGGUUAUUAACACACUCUUUUUCUUUGCUUUAAUGCUGAAUACAAAAUGACCAAAGAAGAAAACUGUUAUUGCAUUUUGAUGUCAUCUUGUAGGAAGCCAUGUACACAGAUAGUAUUUGGUGGUAUAACCCAUUUUUGAGUUCUCUAGUGGAGAUUGGAAGACUUGUAUCUACUACUGCAGGAAGUUGGUUCAAUAUCAUCUUGUGUUAUGAUUAAGGGUUUUUUGAUAAAGUCUAAAAGAUGCAGAUGGUAAAAUCUACUUGGGUGGGCUCAGUUCAUUAUCAGGUUGUGCUGUGUAUUAUGUACCAAUUGUUGUUAAAGUAGUCAUGAAACACAGUGAUAAAACAUCAAUUUUGCAGUUUUAGAAGACAACAAAUUUCUAUGCUAUAUAUGUUUAGAAAACAAAUGAAGAUUCAUACAGAUGUCUCCUGCUAUAUAUCAGUAACUUAAAAGUACCUUUUAAGGGAUAAUAAUCCAGAUUAUAGAUUCAAGAAAAACAUAAUACCCAAUUCAUUUGAGUUCUAAAAUGCUGGUGUGCUGUCAAUCUGCCACAAGUAUUUUUAAAAACAUGUUGGAUACUGAUGCAAGUCUGGUCCGGCUGAUUCCUACAGAGGUCCUGAGUCUGCUGCAUGAUGGCAAUGAAUGUGAUGCAGGUGCAAUUCCAAACCAAAGUCAUCCAUUUUGACAGAUAUUUUGACCUGGGGAGAACAUAAUCUUUGUACAAAAAAAAAAUUGUAUGGAAAGCUAGCGAAGUAAACGAGAAACUGUUCAAGGCACAUUUGAAUUUCCAUAGGCGUCAUUUUGCAGAGGCAUAUUAAGGUAUUGCGACUGCCCCUGCCCACAAAGAAUUGCAAAAUCUUGCCUCUUUGGUAGCAUCACAAAAUCUUUGAGGCCAUGACGGAAAAACAUUGGUGCAAACACAAAAAAGGAUUAGAGUUCCAGGAGACAAAAGCAGUCUUUUUUGCAAAUGGAAAAGCAGAGAGUAGAGGCUAAAAAC
ensembl:lncRNA